rnacentral:rRNA from 1 species
CAGUCGCCGCGGGAAUACAGAGGGUGCAAGCGUUAAUCGGAAUUACUGGGCGUAAAGCGCGCGUAGGUGGUUUGUUAAGUUGGAUGUGAAAGCCCCGGGCUCAACCUGGGAACUGCAUUUGAAACUGGCAGGCUAGAGUCUUGUAGAGGGGGGUAGAAUUCCAGGUGUAGCGGUGAAAUGCGUAGAGAUCUGGAGGAAUACCGGUGGCGAAGGCGGCCCCCUGGACAAAGACUGACGCUCAGGUGCGAAAGCGUGGGGAGCAAACAGGAUUAGAUACCCCGGUAGUCCCUGUCUCUUAUAA